CAUCUUAUCCAUUCUCCACCCCGACUCACGCACAGCAACCCUAGCGAGCGGCGGCUGGAGGCGCGGGCGACGCGGCGGGGCCCAAGGCAGCGGGAGGCGGGCGCCGCGGCUCACGGCUGUUCGCUCGCUCGCGCCGCUGGGCGCGACGCGGCGGGCGCGACGCGGCGGGCCCAAGGCGGCGGGAGGCGGGCGCCGCGGCCCGCGGCGACUGGAGCUGCGCGGCACGGCAGUGGCCCGCGGCGGAGGGGAGCAGGCUCCCGGCUGUUGGCUCGCGCUGCUGCGGCUGCUGAAGCAUCCAUGGAGUCGCCAACCCCCAAGUCGCCGUACGAGUUGGAGCCAACGAAUGAACUAGCACUAGCGCACAUCAUCCCUUCCUAGGUUGUCAUCACAUGCGCAGAUGAACUGGAUCGAUCUAUUCAGGUUAAAUCUAGGAAAUCGUAUGUCGUCAAAACUCUAACAAGCCAUCAGAUUGUUAUGACAGUAUCCUUACUGCAAUGAAAAAUCACUUCAAAAGAUUCAUAUUCUCAUUCUGAUGACCAAUACGAACAAAGUAUAUCGCAAUUUCUGUGUGCUGGAAGGAGAAACUCACACACAAGAAAAGCUAUGGUAUUUCAUGUUAAGUUUGCACGUACAGACCUGCAAUGAUUGAGUUAGUUCAAAUUAUUGUGUGCUAUAUUACUAACCUGCUCUUUGUAGUUUGUAUUUAUGGACAUUUAUCAUGCUGUUUUAUGGUCAUUUUAAUAAUGUUUCCCUUUUCAAAUAUUUGUUAUGAUGAUGUAUAAUUAGGUUAGCUUGAAAAAGGGAGGAUGAUGCUAUUAGCUAUUCUUGAGCUAGGAGCUCCUAAUUAAGUGUCCUUUUAGUUUCCGUAUUACGGCUUUGUUGUACUGAUAGAACAGUAGGUUGGCACUUCUUCUGUCAUGUUAUUUUUUUACCCAUUGCCCUUUUCUAAUAGUGUGGUACUAUUCUGUUACAAAGUAAAUUCUUUUCCUAGAUCACACUUUCAUAUUUGGUUUCGAAAAUAAUUGUCUUUUGUGAAGAUCCAUCUCUGAAUAUUUUAGUUAAUGAACAGCAGUCUUACUGCCUAAUCUUAAACUAAUUGUUUGAACUUUUCAUAGAGAUCAGAAUUGUACAUAGACAGCUGGUUAUAAACUUAUAAUGAGUUGUCUUAGUACAUCUUGAAUAAUUGAUGACUGGAUGUUUUGUACAAAACUUUGCUUCAGUACGGUUUCGGAUGGUGAAUAAAUUAAUGAAGAACGUUUCUUAUGCAUGUGGAAUCACCUGGUAAUUUUCUUAGGAACGUGGUUUUCCUAUUCCACAGUGAAAUCUGAGGUUGCCUUUAAACUACAAAAAAGGAACUGGUGAUGCUGCCAUUGUGUGGCCUCUUACGAUAUAUUUUUGGACCUGUUACUAGAUGGCACACGCAUUAGCUGCCAUAAGAAACAAAUCAUUUUCUAUUUUAAUAUGUCAGCUGAGACGCGUUUGACUACCUUCUUACUUAUUAUGCAGGGCACCAAGUAACGAAUAAUUGGAUCUCAAAGCUCAUAUAUGAAGAACCGAUCUUGGUAGUGGCAUAAAUGGAAGAUGAGAUCUAUGAAUAACAAAUACAAUAAUUACCUGUAGUUUCUAUAAUUUUCAAAGUUUGUAUUCUCUUCAAGAUUUUCAGUCGUUCAAGCUCACAAAUAAGAUACAUAUGGGCAUCAAUUCUAUCAGGUUUUUACACACAUGCUUUAUUUUUGAAGUAAAGAAGCAAGGAAAAACUCAGGUAAAUGCACCAAAAAUGAGAUGUCAUCAAAAGUGUUUAAGUUAUUGCAACAUCACUUUUUAUGAUUUCGUGUACAUCUGAAUUUGUAUUUGUUAGCAUUAAUCAUGGAAAAAAUAAACAAUUUUCUUUCCCUAUAUAAGCAAUCAUAAAUUUGCAUGUUUCCAAUAAAACAAGUGGGUAAAUGUAGUACUUUUAUAUUUUAUAUCUCUAAAUAUGGUUUAUCAAAUAAAUGCUUUAGUGUGCGGAUGCACGGGUUGACGACUAGUCCUAUUAAUUACUAAUACAUCAAGGAUCUUCAUGUUGUUGGUUUUCUUACAAAUCCACUCAUUGGUAAUGAUGGUUUAAUUUCUUUGAUAUUUUCUUCAGUUUAGGGACAGCAGCAGUUUUACCACCGAUGGUGUUGCAUGUAAGCUGGAUGUUCUCAUUGUUCUCUUGGCUCUGAUCGGGUGAGUUCUUCCCUAUUUCCUUUUACGGUAGUACGGUUGUAUGCAUAUGCCUCUUGAUAUUUACCAACUCUUCUUAGGAUUGCCUAACUAGCAUAUAUAUUCUCAGAAAAAUUAUCAUCUACGGCCCAUUGUCAGCUAUACAACUUUUGAAUUCUGUGAAGUUCAGUUCAGAUUUGAUAGCUAUGUCAAAACUCAAUAUUGUAUAACAUGUUUUUUGUAUGAGUGAUAUCAGCUUUCUGAGUCAGGUAAUUUUAUGGUAAGUGCUUAACUUGAUGACUUUGUAAACUUGCAAGACAGAAAUUUCAUUCUGUAAGGAAGUGAAAGACCUUCUCAUUUUCUGAUUGUUCUACCUCUCUGACUGAAACAGGAACUUUCGCGCAAAGAAAACACACACAGGGCAGGAAGGGGAAAACAUAUAGAAGGAGUCUCUCUAUUGGAAGGGGAAAAUAUAAUAUUAGACACCAUUUAUUUUUCUGCUCGCUGAUGCAUGCAAUGUAUCAUUUGGCCUUGAUUUAAUUGAUGUCUUCAGAUCCCAUGAAUGUCAUUUUGCACCGAAGGUUUGUAACCGUUGGGGAAUGUUUUCUUGCUCUGAUGUAUCAAGUUGCCAUGGGGGUGAUCUAGAGGUCUCUUCCUUGUCCAAAGUAUGUCAUACCUAAUCAAGACAUGUUCAUUUAAUUUACCCGUCAUGUAAAUGACACAACAUGAUUCACUUGUGUAUAGUGUAAACAUAUAUUUAUUUAUGGCAAGCAGGUGUUCAAAUUAUAGUUGUGAAACGUGUAUAGUGUAAGGAUAUAAUUAUUAAGGGAAGUGACGUCACAGUGGUCGUGCCUGGUCU